rnacentral:lncRNA from 1 species
CAAAAUGUUCACGGAGGGAAACCCUGGAAUCUCCCCCUGAAAACCUGUUAAUGUGGCUGAGAGCUCAAAACUGAAUCAUUGAAAACAGUAUAUUUUAUGGACAUAGAGAAAGAUGCUGCUUUUCUCCUGACAAUCUUCAAAGAGGGACCAGGUCAUGAUAAAGCAAAGCUGAAAGUCACUGCAGAGCAGAGAACAAAAGCAAAAGGAAGUUUUGCUGCUAACUGUCUCUAUCAAGUUUUUCUACAUUGAAGACAAACUGUGUAUGUGAUUUGUUCUCCUCAAAUGAGAUAUUCAGGGUACGUUGCUCAAAUAAAGAGGGCAAAGCGAUAUGGAGCACAUAGAAAAGAAGAGCGUUUACAUUGAAAGUGAAUUCCGGAGCAAGGAAGUUAUUGGCAUUCGUUUAGUGUACCACAAUGCUAGGGCUGAGGCCUCCGGGAUCCUCUGGGCCUUUUUCAUGGUUGAAAAAUGACAGUGGCAGCUUCAUUCCUUGUGCCCAGUUCCAGAGAGGAGGAAUGAGAAAGGAGCAAGAAGAAAAGGCUGACAUCUAUGGGAAGCCAAACUUUUUCAGGAAUCCCCUGCUCAGCACAAUCAUAACUACAUAGAUGAUUACAGUUGUAUGUUCGGAGAAAAAGAGGAGAGAGAAGACUAAGACUCAUAGGAAAGAAUCCUGCUUUUAUUAAUCAUUCAUACAUAUUUUCAUUUAUGUUUUGAAAGCCAACAACAUACCAGGCUGUCUGUUUGGCACUUAAUAUCUUCAGUCUGACCGAUACCAACUUCGGUUUUCUUGUGGAAAAAAUAAGGAUGUGCUCCUCCUGGGCAUUCAGAAUCCAGCAGGAACACUAUCGCCUCUAUGAACCCCAUACCAGCCCAGGCUAAGUAAGAUGCUGUGGUAGAUUACAUUUUCCAAAGAUGGCUACACCAAGAUAUAUCCUGCCCCACAUAUCCUUCUUAUACCAUGACACUGACACGUCUCCAUCAAGAGAUGAGAUCCUUGUUCCCCUACCUUGACCUGGGUGGACCUUUGUAACUGCCUCAAACAACAGUGUGACAGAAGUGCAUGACCUCUCAGAUGUAUUUGUCGGGGUUUUCCAGAGAAACAGAAUCAAUAGGAUGUAUG